GACUCGGUGGUGCAGUGGGUAGCACUGCUGCCUAACAGCAAGAAGGUUAUGCGUUAGAAUCCAACCUGGGACC